rnacentral:rRNA from 1 species
UACGGAGGAUCCAAGCGUUAUCCGGAAUCAUUGGGUUUAAAGGGUCCGUAGGCGGACGAUUAAGUCAGGGGUGAAAGUCUGCAGCUCAACUGUAGAAUUGCCCUUGGUACUGGUUGUCUUGAAUCAUUGUGAAGUGGUUAGAAUAUGUAGUGUAGCGGUGAAAUGCAUAGAUAUGACAUAGAAUACCGAUUGCGAAGGCAGAUCACUAGCAAUGUAUUGACACUGAUGGACGAAAGCGUGGGUAGCGAACGGG